AUGAAUAAAAAUUCCAUUUUUCUUGCAACAUGUUGCCCUCUUGGCCCAUCUCUGGUUUUUCCAAUUUUUAAGAGACAUAAAAUAAACACCAGUCCUGGUUGUCUAGUGAUCUGCGGCCCCAGGGGCGGGGAGACCACGGGAGAAGAGGAGGCUCAUACCACAUGGACAAACAGAACUAUUCUGUGCCAAAUCUGGAGCAAAAGGCCAUCAGUUGCAACCUCUGACACAGUCUCUGUUUCCAUCUUACGAAGGAGGAACACAAAGGUCAAGGGAUGUGUGUGUCAGGGGUGGUCACAGUUAAUGGUAGACUCAGGACUCAAAUUCCACUUUUAUUCUCAGGGUGAAAUAUCAAUCGCUGGCCACGAGAACAGCACUGGAGCUAUUGUUUUCCUUAGUGGACUCAAAAAGGUGACAGAUCUAAGACCAGCUGGACAGGACCCAAAGGUAACAAGAGAGCUGCAACAAGAUUACCACGUACCAGGGAUCUAUGGAAACCUCACCAACAUUCUGGUUCAGGAAGGGAUAAAGAAGAAUUCUGGACUUGGCAGUGCCCUCCCCAUGAAAACAAAGGUCUGAAUUCCAGGCAGAAGGUCUCUUGGUUCUCUGGACAUCUCUGCAGCUUCCAGGUUUGGCUGUCUGUGGUCUUCGACUCACUAAACCACAGAGGCACUCAGCAGUACCCAGCCACCAUGCUUACCUCCUGCCAGCCUGCUCUGAAGCAAUGCACAUCCAGGGGACAUGAAAAUAACCCGCU
rnacentral:lncRNA from 1 species